UACGAAGGGUGCAAGCGUUACUCGGAAUUACUGGGCGUAAAGCGUGCGUAGGUGGUUUUUUAAGUCCGUUGUGAAAGCCCUGGGCUCAACCUGGGAAUGGCAGUGGAUACUGGAAAGCUAGAGUGCGGUAGAGGGUAGUGGAAUUCCCGGUGUAGCAGUGGAAUGCGUAGAGAUCGGGAGGAACACCAGUGGCGAAGGCGGCUACCUGGACCAGCACUGACACUGAGGCACGAAAGCGUGGGGAGCAAACAGG
rnacentral:rRNA from 1 species